AAAAAGACAAACCCUGGGUUUCCGUGUCCAACGUUUAACUGUCCGUCUUAUAUGAAAUUUUUUUAUAAUUAGUAUUUUCAUUAUUGUUAGGUGAUAAAACAUGAUUAAUACUUUAUAUGUGACUUGUCUUUUUAAUUUUUACAUAAUUUUUUUAAAUAAGACGAACGGUCAAACAUUAAACACAGAAACCCUGGGUUUAUCUUCUU
rfam:Oryza glumipatula chromosome 2, whole genome shotgun sequence.